ensembl:snoRNA
AAGACUAUACUUUCAGGGAUCAUUUCUAUAGUUUGUUACUAGAGAAGUUUCUCUGAUCGUGUAGAGCAGUUUCUCUGAUCGUGUAGAGCACCACGAGGAGGAGAUGCAGUGUUCUCUCCUGAGCGUGAAGCCGGUCCUUGGUGUUGCUUCUGCAGCUGCUAUUGGCCAUUGAUGAUCGUUCUUCUCCUCCUUUGGGAGAGUAGGAGGGAGAGGACACCAUCUGAGUGGAU